GGGAAUAUGGCUUAAUGGUAGAGUGCUUGCUUUGCAUGCAUGAAGCCCUGGGUUCAAUUCCUCAGUACCA
rnacentral:tRNA from 1 species